GGAAGGGGUGUAUUUAUUAGAUAAAAAACCAAUGCCUUCGGGCUCCUUGGUGAUUCAUGAUAACUUUACGAAUCGCAUGGCCUUGUGCCGGCGAUGGUUCAUUCAAAUUUCUGCCCUAUCAACUUUCGAUGGUAGGAUAGUGGCCUACCAUGGUUUCAACGGGUAACGGGGAAUUAGGGUUCUAUUCCGGAGAGGGAGCCUGAGAAACGGCUACCACAUCCAAGGAAGGCAGCAGGCGCGCAAAUUACCCAAUCCCGACACGGGGAGGUAGUGACAAUAAAUACUGAUACAGGGCCCUUUCGGGUCUUGUAAUUGGAAUGAGUACAAUUUAAAUCCAUUAACGAGGAACAAUUGGAGGGCAAGUCUGGUGCCAGCAGCCGCGGUAAUUCCAGCUCCAAUAGCGUAUAUUAAAGUUGUUGCAGUUAAAAAGCUCGUAGUUGAACCUUGGGUCUGGGUGACCGGUCCGCCUCACCGCGUGCACUGGGAGCCCGGACCUUUCCUUCUGGCAAACCUCAUGCCCUUUACUGGGUGUGUUGGGGAACCAGGACUUUUAC
rnacentral:rRNA from 1 species